GGGGCUGUAGUGUAACUUGGUUAUCAUACGAGGCUGGGGGUCUCGUGAUCACGGUUCAAAUCCGUGCAGCCCCA
rnacentral:tRNA from 1 species